GUCUUUUUGAUUAUAAUUUAAAGUCUGACCUGCCCAAUGAGGAGUUGAAUGGCCGCGGUAAUUUGACCGUGCAAAGGUAGCAUAAUCAUUAGUUUUUUAAUUGAAAGCUGGAAUGAAUGGUUGGACGAGAAAAUAACUGUCUCAAUUUAAUUGUAUAUAGAAUUUUAUUUAUAAGUAAAAAAGCUUAUAUAAUUUUAAAAGACGAGAAGACCCUAUAGAGUUUUACAUUUUAUUUUAUUAAUUAAGUUUAGUAUUUUUAUAUUUUUAAUAAAAUAAUGUGUUUUGCUGGGGCAGCAGAAAAAUUAAAUAAACUUUUUUUAUAUAUAUCACAUUGAUUUAUGGUUUAAUGAUCCAUUUUUUAUGAUUAUAAGAUUAAAUUACCUUAGGGAUAACAGCGUAAUUUUUUUUUAGAGUUCUUAUCGAAAAAAGAGUUUGCGACCUCGAUGUUGGAUUAAAAUUAACNUUUGG
rnacentral:rRNA from 1 species